UACGUAGGGGGCAAGCGUUGUCCGGAUUUAUUGGGCGUAAAGAGCGUGUAGGCGGCCAGAUAGGUCAGCUGUGAAAACUCGAGGCUUAACCUCGAGACGUCGGCGGAAACCAUCUGGCUAGAGUCCGGAAGAGGAGAGUGGAAUUCCUGGUGUAGCGGUGAAAUGCGCAGAUAUCAGGAAGAACACCCGUGGCGAAGGCGGCUCUCUGGGACGGUACUGACGCUGAGGAGCGAAAGCGUGGGGAGCGAACAGG
rnacentral:rRNA from 1 species